rnacentral:lncRNA from 10 species
CCCACAGCCACUCCCUGAGGGUGAAGGGCAUUGCUUUGAAAGUCUUGUCACCUCCCUGAUGAAGAUGCUCAACCCUAUCAGGACAGAGCUCAGGCUGGCAGAGGUCAACUCACCCCCUGUACUAUUUUCCUUGCUCCUGAGAAACACAUAUGGAUAUUCAUCAAAAGCUUCUAUCCCCAUGCAGAUGCGUACAGCUUAGGAAGCAUCGGGGAUGCCAUAGAGUCAAUUAAAUUAAUCUCCCCCCUUCCCUAUCUUAGAAAAAUGUUCUGUGCAGCCAAACAUCUGUAGCCCUGGAUAUUGUAAUCUCCUUGUGUUUUGUUUUGCUCCAGACAAAAUGGUGGAAAAGCCGAAAUUUAUGCCUUUGGAAUCUGAGGCAUUAACUGUUGUAAAUCAGCCUUGGGUGCCCAAAGGUGGCAUAAGGGUAACGAUUUCAAGGCCAAAUGGAAAUGGUAGAAUCCAUACGGGACUUGGAUGCAGACUGGGCCUGCCUUAGAAUCUCAGCUUCACUGGUAGCUGUGAACGUGCCUUGGGAGAGUCACAGAACUCUGCUGCUCCUGUCUGUGAUGGGUGUCAUUGAUCCUACCUGAGAUGUUGGUGGAAGGGGGGAGUGGCCGUCAGCUCCAUGCUCCAAGUCGCUUAGUUGCUGCACCAUCUCUUUUCAUUUAAUUUGUGCUUGAGCAGCUCUCUCCAGACAUUUAUUUUGAUCUAAUGGAGUGUGUUUAGCUUCUUGACUUUCUUUCCAUUGUACUUGAGGAUGCUUUGAUUAUUUUUUCCCUCCUUUGCUACAGUAUUUUUUUAAACCAGGUAUGAUUUACAUAGAGUAAAAUCCAUCCUUCCCCAGAUGUUCACUUCUAUCAAUAUUGGCAAGUGUGCUCAGAUGUGUAACUGCCACCACAAUCAGGAUAUUCACUGUUUCCAUCAUUCCACAAAGUUCCCUCAUGUGCCUUUGUAGUCGAUCCCCACGACCUCCAAGUCCCGGCAACCUCUGAUGUAUUUCCUGUCCUUAGAGUUUUGUUUUUUCCAGAAUGUUGUAUCAGUGAAAUCAUACAGUAUGUCACCUUUUGAGUCUGGAUGCUUUCACUUCAUCUGUGGUGUUGCACGAAUCAAUAGUUUGUUCUUUUUGUUGCUGAGUAUGAUUCCGUUAUCUGGAUGUACCACAGUGUGUUUAUCCACUUACCAGGUGAGGGACACUUCCAUUAUUUCUGGUUUUGGAUGAUUAUAGAAAAAGCUUCUAUAAACAUCUGCAUACUGUUUUUUUUGUGGGUGUUCAUAUCAUUUGCCACAUUUUAAGGACUGAUGUUUCAUGUUGUAGUUGCAUAUUUUUGUCCCGAAUAGCUCCAAUAAAGCAAGUGUCUAUGUUAGACUUCCACUUCUGGACUUUUGUUUAAUAUCCACUCUUGGGCUCAUCACACACAGUGGAGGGGUGUUGACCUUUCCCAUGGCAUACUCUUGGCUUUAGAUGGUUUCUCUAAUCACCAUGUGGACCCAGAAUGCUCACUUCUAUCUGAGAGAGUAAGGGCCCUGAUCCUGUCCUCAGUUUUCCUGUUUCCCCCAGCAGCAGUUUUCACUCAUCCCCAGUCAAUGGUGAGAAAGCUGUGGCCAGCUUCACUCCAGAUCCUAGGGUAUUAGUGAGAAUAGCUAGUAUUUUGCUGACCCAAAAUGGCUCCUGGGGGAUUGGGAGUGGGAAUGGACACAUUGCUG